rnacentral:rRNA from 1 species
GUAACAGCCCGGUAGUUGAAAUGGCUUUCCCUCCAGAGUGGAUCCUGAGUACGGCGGAACACGUGAAAUUCCGUCGGAAUCCGGGAGGACCAUCUCCCAAGGCUAAAUACUCCCUAGUGACCGAUAGUGAACCAGUACCGUGAGGGAAAGGUGAAAAGCACCCCGGAAGGGGAGUGAAACAGUUCCUGAAACCGUGUGCCUACAAGUAGUUAGAGCCCGUUAAUGGGUGAUAGCGUGCCUUUUGUAGAAUGAACCGGCGAGUUACGAUUUGUUGCAAGGUUAAGCGGAAAAAGCGGAGCCGUAGCGAAAGCGAGUCUGAAUAGGGCGCAUAAGUAACAGGUCGUAGACCCGAAACCAGGUGAUCUACCCAUGUCCAGGAUGAAGGUAAGGUAAUACUUACUGGAGGUCCGAACCCACGCACGUUGAAAAGUGCGGGGAUGAGGUGUGGGUAGCGGAGAAAUUCCAAUCGAACUUGGAGAUAGCUGGUUCUCUCCGAAAUAGCUUUAGGGCUAGCCUCGAGGUAAAGAGUCAUGGAGGUAGAGCACUGUUUGGACUAGGGGCCCUUCUCGGGUUACCGAAUUCAGAUAAACUCCGAAUGCCAUGUACUUAUACUCGGGAGUCAGACUGCGAGUGAUAAGAUCCGUAGUCGAAAGGGAAACAGCCCAGACCACCAGUUAAGGUCCCCAAAUAUAUGUUAAGUGGAAAAGGAUGUGGGGUUGCUUAGACAACCAGGAUGUUGGCUUAGAAGCAGCCACCAUUGAAAGAGUGCGUAAUAGCUCACUGGUCGAGUGACCCCGCGCCGAAAAUGUACCGGGGCUAAACAUAUUACCGAAACUGUGGAUGAACCUCUUUAGAGGUUCGUGGUAGGAGAGCGUUCUAAGGGCGGUGAAGUCAGACCGGAAGGACUGGUGGAGCGCUUAGAAGUGAGAAUGCCGGUAUGAGUAGCGAAAGAAGGGUGAGAAUCCCUUCCACCGAAUAUCUAAGGUUUCCUGAGGAAGGCUCGUCCGCUCAGGGUUAGUCGGGACCUAAGCCGAGGCCGAUAGGCGUAGGCGAUGGACAACAGGUAGAGAUUCCUGUACCAGUGCUAAUUGUUUAACCGAUGGGGUGACACAGAAGGAUAGGGAAUCGCACGAAUGGAAAUGUGCGUCCAAGCAGUGAGUGUGAG